UGAGUAACACGUAUCCAACCUGCCGUCUACUCCUGAACAGCCUUCUGAAAGGAAGAUUAAUACAAGAUGGCAUCAUGAGUCCACAUGUUCACAUGAUUAAAGGUAUUCCGGUAGACGAUGGGGAUGCGUUCCAUUAGAUAGUAGGCGGGGUAACGGCCCACCUAGUCUUCGAUGGAUAGGGGUUCUGAGAGGAAGGUCCCCCACAUUGGAACUGAGACACGGUCCAA
rnacentral:rRNA from 1 species